ensembl:misc_RNA 7SK 7SK RNA
GGAUGUGAGGGUUAUCUGGCUGUGACAUCUGUCACCCCAUUGAUUGCUAGGGCUGAUUCCACUGAUCUGGCUGGUUUUAAGCGUGUGUCCCUUUCCUCACUCACUGCUCCAAGUGCAGCCCUCCCAAAGCUGCACACUCAGUUGAAGAAGAUGAUCAUUCCUGAUAGGGGAGGACUGGUGUUCAGUCAAGAGUAUACGAGUAGCUGAACUCCCCUGCUAGACCUCCAAACAAGCUCUCAAAAAAUAUAUCCUUUUAACCAGCUUUCACAAGACUUAACUGGGUAUAAAAGAGUUAUGAUUCUGUUUCAGGUGUUACUCCUAAAAACA